AUGAAGGGUGUUACAGUGUUGAUUGUUGGUGUUGGGCCAGCAGGCCUCGCAACGGCAGCAUGCCUUAGCCAAUUCUCAAUUCCUUAUGCCAUCGUCGAGUGCGAGAGCUGUAGCGCAUCACUCUGGCGCAACCGCGCGUAUGAUCGCCUCAAGCUGUAUCUCGCAAAGGAGUUCUGUGAGUUGCCACACAUGUCAUACCCUAUAGAUGCACCAACAUACAUACCAAAAACCUUGUUUGUGAAGUACUUGGAUGACUAUGUUGAGCGUUUCAACAUUCAACCAAAGUAUCUCACCAGCGUGGAGUCAUCCACAUAUGACAAUGAUGAAAAAAGUUGGUCCAUUGUGGCAAAGGACAUGUCAAAGUGCACCACAGUCAAGUUCAUGGCGAAGUUUCUUGUUGUGGCAAGUGGUGAGAAUAGUGCAGAGAAUAUUCCAAUGUUCCCUGGACUGGAAAACUUUCCAGGUGAUGUUAUCCACUCCUCAAGCUACAAGUCAGGCAAGAGCUAUUCUGGCAAGAAUGUAUUGGUCAUUGGAUCUGGCAACUCCGGGAUGGAAAUUGCUUAUGACCUUGCGACCCAUGGUGCCAACACAUGGAUUGUUAUACGAAGCCCGGUACGUACGUGCACUAUAUAUUUUCACUGGGUGCAUGAACGCAAAUUC
rnacentral:rRNA from 1 species